AAUGGGGACACCGGACCAGGUCACUUUGACAGGUCCUUCUGAAUCAGACCACCUAGGACCCCUGAUGUAAGAAGGAGGCUCUGAAAUCAGUAAUAGCAUGUCAGCUCACUUCGGGAUCCAGUGAGUAGUCAAGCCCUGGCCACUGCCAUACAGGACCUCAAAGCCUGAAACCCCUCACUAAGGAGCACAGGGCGGGAGACUCGGAUGGGGUAACCCUGCCUUACUCUGUUCCCUGCUGUAGGAAUUCAGGGGAGCAAGUGGGUACAAGUGCCAAGGAAAGGAAGACGCACCGAUGACAGAGAAACCGAGACUCAGGCCGCUCAUGUGGAAGGAGGCAUUGCUGAGGUUCAAACCCUCAUCUGGGGCUCCUGGGCUCCAGUUCUGUCUGGGAGAGGAAGCAGGAGCCCUAGCCCCACCUCAGCAGGGAGCAUCAACCCUGUGCAAGAAAUGGGUUGCUGUUGCUAAACCAGUCCAAGCCCACGCCAGGCAGGCAGACAGAAGUCUCUAGAGUAGCUGGCACUACCACAUCUCCUAGGCUGGGGCAAGAGAAGGUUCCAGAAAAGCCCUCGAGCCCUCCAGAUGCCUGAUGUCGUCACCCAGGAAAACCAUAUGUCUAAAAAGACCCCAGACCAUGGCCACCGUGUGGAGAAAGACCGCAGUACCUCCAUUUACUCAGGUCUGGGAUGGUUGCUCUGACUUGAAUGUAACCCUGCUCUUUACUGUGCCUUAGGGACUGCCUUGAUUGCCCAUCUUGGCUGUUUGUGAGUUCUGCCCAGUCCUCCUACACAUCAGGCAUCCUCUCAGUAUGUGCCACAGGACCGAGUGGCAUCAUAGCUCAUGUCCCUCUGUGGACCCCUCCCUCCCUGUGGUUGGAUCUAGGCCCCCAUAACCAUCUCUUGACCCGUUCUUCUCCCUAUGACUAACUUAAAGUCAAUCUCUAGAUCUCUGUGGGCUGCCUAGGGUGACUACCAGAUGAGAUGUCUCACCCUCGCCCUUGGCCACAGUGUACAAAAGGCCUUGGCGGGCUGGGAAGACACCUCCCUGUUCUGUUCCCUCACGCCAAACACUGCCGCUCUUCAUCCCCCAGGCAGCUGGCCAGCACUGGAAGAGCUCCCUCUUUCCCUCCCAGAGCCUGUUUGCUUUUGGCCCAUUGCAGUGCUCUGGUCCCCCUGGGAGCACCCACCCUUCUGGCCUAGGAUUUUGCCAGGAGGGACAAUGAUCAGUAAACAGAGAAGGCAGUUAUGAAACCCAGUGAGACCAGACAGGACCCACACACGUUCCGGCUGGCCCCCACAGACUUGAAGACACCUGCAGUCAAGGCCUCAGUUUCCUCAUUUUUAAAAUGGAACGGAGUUUAAAGUGGCAGUCUCCUGGAACAGCAGAGGACUCCAAGGCCUGACACACAGCAUCUCCCAAAGGGUCCCUGGAUGGCCCGCUUCUUCUCUCAGAGGCCUGAGCCCAGCGCAUUCACACCUACCGAAUGGCAGCAGCCUGGAGCAGCAGGGGUGAGACUACAGAUUCAAAUGGGACUUGGGCUCAGGUUGGGCUGUGCAGUCUAGAGUGGGUUAUUUUCCUUUCUGGGCCUCCAGGCACUCAUUUGUAAAUAGGGACAGUAACACCCACCUGUAGAACUAUGGGAGUAAGCCGAAGGACUGCCAGUAGUAAUGGCCACUGGCCUUCCAUCUCUUUGUAGAUAACACCAAGCAGAAAAAAGUGAUGUCUCCAGGCCAAUGAGCCAGUGUCCACAGCCUAGACUUAGAACUCAGGUCUGUGGGCAACCAGGCCAGAGUCAAGGCCUGGGUCUCAUGGAGCAGGGUUCCCUGACAUGGCCAACUGGGCUUCUGCCCUGGCCAAGUCUAUUCUGGGUGUGGACAGCUAUUGGGAAUAUGGCCAGUGGGUCUUGGUUGAAUCUAUCUCAGGGACUGAAGCCACUGACCCUCUCCCAGCUCCCAGAGCCAGCCCCACCUAGUGUUGUGAGGACAUUCUGAGGAGGCCUGGCCCUACCACCUCCUGGCUCUGUGCCCUGGAAGCAACAAGAUUUGGCCAUGCAUGAGUAGCAUCAGUCUUUCCUCCCCUGAGGCAGACACUCUAGCCCUGGGAAACUUGGGAUUGCUGAGAACUGAGCCCUAGCCCCUCAUCCUGCCCCCCACCCUAGAACUGUGUAGCAACCCCUGAGGAGCCCAGACACAAACAUAGGUUAAUGGCAGGAUGAAGGGGCCUAAGCACAGGCUUGGUGACUGGGGCAAGGGUCAGCAGGAGAUUGGGUGGGGUGCAGACAGAAGGCAGGGUCUGCGAUGCCCCCGCCAGAGCAGGAAGGGGCAGAAACGCUGCUGCAGGCAGCUCUUCAGAGGAAAGACGUGGCCAAGUGACCAGCAAAGUGGGGGAAUAAGGUCUACCCCUCAACUAGCUGACAGCUCUGAGCAAGUCACCUUGGCGCCAGAGCCUCAGUUUCCCUAUCUGUAGGUAGGAAUUGCAAUAUCUUCUUCCCAUGAAGGGUGCAAGAAUUUAAUAAGGGAACAGCUGCCCUUGCAGAGGACCUCAGUUUGGUUUCCAGCACCCAUAUCAGAUGACUCACAACCACCUGUAACUCCUGCCCUAGAGGAUCUGACGCCCUCUUCUGGCCUGCACAGUUACCUGCACUUACAUAAAACACACACACACACACACACACACACACACACACACACACCCCUUAAAAAUGAAAAAGAGUAAACCAUUAAGAACUGUAACCAGGUGAAAUACACCAAGGCUCAGCAUAGCCUGAUGCAGGUGAGACCUGUAAAGAGAAAGCUGCGAUUUUUGCUGGGUCAGCUGCUUGGCUGAGUUUCUGUCUCUCUAAUCUUCUUGUGUGUAAAUUAGAGGCCAAAAGGCCUUUCCCUGCCGAGUGUGAUGGUGUGUACCUGUAACGCCAGUGCUCUGAAGAGAGAAGCAACUUUGAGGUCAGCCCGGUUUGCAUAAUAAGUUGCAUAAUAAGCUCACCCAGGGCUAGCUAGCAAGACCGGAUUUCAAAACAAACAAAAUGUGUGUGUGUGUGUGUGUGUGUGUGUGUGUGUGUGUGAGAGAGAGAGAGAGGGGGGGGGGCAGGCAGGCAGACAGGCAGACAGUGUUUUUCAUAAUAAAAUAAAUGUUUAAAUAUAUACUGGUUUAUAAAAGCGAGCUGUCUAAGAGACAUCUGCAUGUCCAUGUUCAUAGCAGUACUGCCCACAACAGUUACAACAGGGAAGCAAGCCAGCUGUUCAUUAAUAAAUGAGUACACAAUCAACAAACACAUUCAAACGGAGGAACAGUUUAAAAAGAUCACACUCUGCUAUAGAUGAACCUCAAGGACACCAUGCCAGUCACAAAACAGCAAAUACUGUGAGUCUACUUCCCUGAAGUUCUGAGGAGCAUCAGAUGUGUAGGAACAUACAGUAAAGUGAUAGUUGUAAGUGGAAGGGAAACGUAGGCUAUUGUCCAAAGAGGACAGAGCUUCAGUUUGAUGAACCAGCCUGCCUCCAUCUUGGGCGUUAAAGCCAUCUUACAGUAAAGAUAAACUAGGUCCAUUCCUGUUUAUGAUUAAAUCUGUUUCUCAAGGAUUGGGCUAUGCCCCACCUGUAACCUUAUAACUACAAAUUGUUCUGUACUGCCUGUUCCAGGAAUGGCAACCAUGUUUUUGUUUCAAAAGUUGUAACCAUCUUGCAAACCUACCUUUGUUUCAAAAGGUUGUUAAGACUACCUGCUGUUAUGGCUACCUUGUUAGGACCACCUUGCAAUCAUGUCUUUGUUUCAGAUGUUAUGACUAACUUGUGUUGUAGAACAUGAUUUUAAGGUGUGUUGCUUUUGUCUAUGUUUCAUCUGUUUAACUCUGUGAAGCUGUGUUACUGUGUCUGUCUAAAACACCUGAUGGUCUAAUAAAGCACUGAACAGUCAAUAGCAAGGCAGGAGAAAGGAUAGGCAGGGCUGGCAGGCAGAGAGAAUAAAUAGAAGGAAAAAUAGAAGGGAGGAAGAAGAAGGAACAAGAGAAGGAGGAGGAGGACUCCAAGGAGCAGCCACCCAGCCACCCAGCCACCCAGCCACCCAGCCACACAGCCACACAGCCACACAGCCACACAGCCACACAGCCACACAGCCACACAGCCACACAGCCACACAGCCAGCCAUGGAGUAGGAGUACGAGUAAGAUUUAUGGAAGUAAGAGAAUGGGAAAAGUCUAGAGGCAAAAAGUAGACGGGAUAAUUUAAGAAAAGCUGGCAAGAAACAAGUCAAGCUAAGGCUGGGAAUUCAUAACUAAGAAUAAAACUCCAUGUGUGUGAAUUAUUUGGGAGCUGAGUGGUGGGCCCCCCACAAAAGAGCCAAAAAACAACCAACAACAAACUUGUUAUGCUCCUGUAACCCUGCCGAAUUUUGCCCUCCAGAUUUCCUCCCCCCCCAACACCACUGCCCCCACCCCGUUUGCAAACUCCCUAACUCUAGGCUAUAAACACUUUGUCUUCCUCAUGUCCAGUGCUGAUCUCUUGAACCCCGUUUUUAGAGAGAGGUAGCUCAUGUACAUGAAUAAAAAAGCUUGCUUCUUUAAUUAACUUGGCCAUGAUGAUUUGGGGCAGUGGUCUUUCUCCUCACCCCUUUGGGUUUAAAAAGUUCUGCAUGAUGGGAAGUUCUGGGGAUGGGCAGUGGUGACCAGUGCAAGACAUAUGAUGUAUUAACACCAUGGAACCAUGUGUUUAAAAUGUUCUCGAUGCUAAGUUUCAUGUUAUGUCAACUUUGCCACAAUAAAAACAACGGGGAACAUCUGCUCAUCCGCUCGUCUUUUUCUGAGAGACAGUGAGCUGUCCUGUGGGGAUCCAGUCAAGAGGACUCAUGUUACAGGAGUGUCCAGCCCGGACGGUUUAGGCCUUGGGACACAGAUAAGAAAGAAAAAAGGGAACAUUGUGGAAACAAAGGUCCUUCGUUUAGCUGAGGAAGUGAGAUUUCCAUUGUCAACUACCUGAUGCUGAAGAGAGUAGUAGCCCAGAGCCACUGACAGCAGAGAGAGGCCGUCAACAUAUCAUGCACACCGAGGUGGGCAAGCAGAGUCAUUGGGAGAGUUUAGAAAGAGCACAAACUCCCAGGCACAGCCCCAGCCUUGGAAUGUGUAGAUCUGGGCGGGGUCCUGGAACUCAAUUCUAAGGGUCAGCUACCAAUGGGAACCACAUGGCAAAACCACAGUUGGGGAAACUGAGGCUAAGCAGGAGAGGGGGUCUGUCGGGUCUGGUUGAUCAAACAGCAGGACAGCUGAACUAACUGGUCCCUUUCCUGUUUUCUUCUCUCCUUUCCCUCCCAGGGCGGGCCUCCCCUGCCAUCAGCUGUGACUCAGACUCUGAGUCAUCCUGUGGCACCACAGAAGGAACUUCUUAAGAAAAACAAUCCCUAACACAGAGCUCCCCGGAUCUUGGGAACAGGAUAGGCCCAGUGGGCUGGGAGGAGGAGAGAGAGGUCAGGGCGGUGUGGGAGGCCAGGGCUCCCCAAACCUGACUGCUCUUAGCCACUGAUGUGUGCAGUGCACUGUACAAGGAGCCUCAGUGUCCUCACCUGCAAAUAAAACCUCCUUCUGCAUACAGAAGCUCCAUAUUCAA